rnacentral:rRNA from 1 species
AAAUUCUGCCCUAUGAAUAUUUAAAUGGCUGCAGUAUUUUAACUGUACAAAGGUAGCAUAAUAAUUAGUUUUUUAAUUGAGGACUGGAAUGAAAGAUUAAAUGAGAAAUUUAUUUUAUUAAAUUUAAUUUUUAAAUUUUAUUUUUAGGUAAGAAAGCUUAAUUAAAUUACUGGGACGAAAAGACCCUAUAGAACUUUAUUUUAAAUAAAAAUAAUUCAUAAUAAUUUAAUCUAAAUAUUAUUUUUUUUAUAUUUUGUUGGGGUGACAAAUAAAUUAAACUUUAUUUUUAUAAUUCAUUAAUUUAUGAUUUUAUUGAUUUAAAUUUUUAGUUACAAGAUUUAGUUACCUUAGGGAUAACAGCGUAAUUUUUAUGGAGAGUUCAUAUCUAUAUAAAAGUUUGCGACCUCGAUGUUGAAUUAAGAUAAAUUAAUAAAGCAGUAUUUAUUAUAUUAAGUCUGUUCGACUUUUAAAUUCUU